rnacentral:misc_RNA from 1 species
UCCGGCUUACCACCGGCGGUCCCUUUAGAGUGCCCAACUUAAUGAUGGCAACUAAUGGCGAGGGUUGCGCUCGUUGCGGGACUUAACCCAACACUUCACAGCACGAGCUGACGACAGCCAUGCAGCACCUGUGUAAUCGCUCCUUGCGGAGAAAUGCACUUUCGUACACGGUCAACUACAUGUCAAGCCUGGGUAAGGUUCUUCGCGUAGCCUCGAAUUAAACCACAUGCUCCACCGCUUGUGCGGGUCCCCGUCAAUUCCUUUGAGUUUCAGUCUUGCGACCGUACUCCCCAGGCGGAGUGCUUAAUGUGUUGACUUCGGCACAGCAGGGGUCGAUACUCGCUACACCAAGCACUCAUCGUUUACGGCGUGGACUAC